GACGAACGCUGGCGGCGUGCUUAACACAUGCAAGUCGAACGGAAAGGCCCUGCUUUUGUGGGGUGCUCGAGUGGCGAACGGGUGAGUAACACGUGAGUAACCUGCCCUUGACUUUGGGAUAACUUCAGGAAACUGGGGCUAAUACCGGAUAGGAGCUCCUGCUGCAUGGUGGGGGUUGGAAAGUUUCGGCGGUUGGGGAUGGACUCGCGGCUUAUCAGCUUGUUGGUGGGGUAGUGGCUUACCAAGGCUUUGACGGGUAGCCGGCCUGAGAGGGUGACCGGCCACAUUGGGACUGAGAUACGGCCCAGACUCCUACGGGAGGCAGCAGUGGGGAAUAUUGCACAAUGGGCGGAAGCCUGAUGCAGCAACGCCGCGUGCGGGAUGACGGUCUUCGGGUUGUAAACCGCUUUCGCCUGUGACGAAGCGCGAGUGACGGUAAUGGGUAAAGAAGCACCGGCUAACUACGUG
rnacentral:rRNA from 1 species